GCGACCGGGACAAAGGAACCGGCUGCGCGGGAGCGCGCCUGAGGGAGGCCGCGGGGGGCAGGGCCGGGACUGCGUUGAGACAGUCGCCGUGCCUCAGUUUCCUCCUCUGCGAAGGGCGGGAGGAGUCGGACGCGCCCUAGAGCCCCGCGCGUUCCUGGUGUAGCCUGCUGGGCCCGUGUUCUUUAAGUUCCUCUUCCUCGGAGCCGCGCGUUCGACCCUCGCUCCCGUUUGUCCACUGAUGUCCCGUUUCGAGCCCGGGAGAUCCUGCAUCUCGGAAGCCCCCUGAGUCCCGAGGCAAAUCGGGACCGUGAGCCCCCCUACCCUGCAGGGCUCCAUGGGGCCAAAAACCACGUGGUCCUUCUGGAAGGGAACUGGCUAAGCCAGGACUGCUUUUCUGGAGUGAUAAUGUGCUUGCCUGUGUCUAAGAGAAAGGUGAAGAAUUGGGAAACCCAUGGGUGUCACGAAGGGUGGUGAGACUGGGGAACGUUUUAGAAAACCUGGAGAUUAGGGACUGGAAUGCCCAUUUGGCUGCUGCCAAUCAAUAUAAGAGAAAAUGAAGCGAUCACAUCUAAGAAAAUUUGCUCAUUACUUACCAGCAAAAUCAAAACUUGAUUAGCCAAUCUGAAGACCUCUAGGAAAUGAGCACUAUUUUUCCCACUUAAUGGAUGUUCAAGCUUAAGAGGCUAAAUGAUGUUCCUAUAUUAAUAUCUCAAUGGUCAAACUGCCAUUAGAACUCAACAUUCUUGAAUUUUAAAGGUAUCGGUUUUACCAUUGUUCAGAAUUCAUCAGAAUUGGCCCAGUCUCAGCACAGAAAACUGUAUAGUUCAAAAGCAUAAUUGGUCCGUGCCUGAUUUGCACUACAAUUUCCAGAAUUUUUUUCCCUGUACGUGACUGGUGGAGGCACUAGCUAGUCUUUGCUACAAGAACAUUAUGAGAUUUACAUAUGCACAACUCUAAACUAAAUUAGUUCCUCCAGGACAAUUUACUGAGCUUUUUAACACCACCGUCAAGCACUGUUGCAAGGACAGAUAAUAGGGGCUCAGAUAAUAUCUGAUAAAUGAAUAAAUGGGUCCUUUUGCUCUCCCAGGACUGGGCUAGAGCACUUGACUAAACUGAUGUGUGAGGUAGCAAUUUGUGUACAGAAGUCAUGAGUUUUGAGGAAAAAGAAAUUAAAGAAACAUGUUCUCUAAAAACUGCAGUCAUUGGUCAAGAAUACGAGUCUACUUGUGAUUUCAUACAAAUAAUGGGUGGACAGUGAGCUAUGAAAUUUAUGAAUACUCUAAGCAAAGGUUGGUCAGCAUACGUGCUAAACAGGAAAUCCUGAUAAGUAGGAAUAGUGCAAGCCACACUGCAACUUUUAUCAUAUUAGGUUGGUGCAAGGUCUACCAGAUGUGUCUUGCCUUCCCAUGUGUAAGGUCAACCAGAUAGCUCUCACCUUUCCAUGUCUAAGGUCAACCAGGGGGUGCUUGCCUUCCCGUGUCUAAGGUCGACCAGAUGGCUGUGUGCACCAACCUAAUAGAACAUCAUAAGUAUCUUGAGUUCAAGAUAAAUCCAUACCUUACCUACACUGUCUCCCAAUUAUUAUCAAUUGUCUUCUGCCAUCUCUUAAGUCAUUAUUAUGUCAAAUAAUUAAAGUCGGUGUUUCCUUUAGUUUUGUCACUGGUGAUACUACUACUUGCUCUUCAAAAUGUAUCUUUAUUCAUCUAACAUUUUGCAAAGUAAAGUUUCAAAGUUGUUCAGCAAGAAAGACAUUAUUGGAUGCCCAGGUUUGUAUUAGUUUGACUUAUAUUAUUAUUAAUUAGCACCCCUUUUAACUCUCAAAAGUAUGUCCUAGUAUAGAUGAUAAUUUAUAUGAUCACUCUAUAAAUAAGAGUGUCCAGAUAAUAAGGAAUAAGAAGAAUAAUUUUAGAAAUUCAAAGGGGAUUCAUAAGGAUAUAUUGCAAAUCAGGUUCCAGGUUUAUAGGUGAAGACUAAUUUCAACAUUGGUGAUAAUAAGGGGAAAAUGAGUUGCAGCGUGGGGGUGAGUAUGAAGAAUUAGGCAGUUGCUAUGUGAUGAAAAUGCCCUACUAGGAGAUUUUAUUAAGAAAAAAAUCUUAUUUUUUUUCUUAAUAACAGUACCCUGGCUGAUAAAUGGGACUUGGAUUUUAAAUACCAUUGGAUAAUAAAUGUAUGUGAUGGCUUUGGAGCAAAUUGAUUGACAAUGGCUAGGUAAGACUUCAGCCACUUUUCUAAGGACUGUUUCUAUAGACUAACCUAGAUAUAUUUUUCUCAUCCGUCACUUCCAGUUACUUUGAAUGUAACUCCUUCUGUAAACAUUAAAAAAGAAAAAGAUGAAGGGAUAGGGAUGGAAGGAAUAGAGGUCUCUGAUAACAUCCUAUAAUACUAACAUAGAAGUGCUUCUGAAUCAUAAAUAACUCCAUUCCUUUCCCUGAGAAACUAAAAUCACUGUUUUAAAAUGUGAAUCUGCUACUCAGGAGGCUGAGGCGGGAGAAGUGCUGGAGACCAGGAGUUCGAGACCAGACUGAACAACGUAGUGAGACCACCCCCGCCCCCGACCCCCAGCCCCAACUAAAAAAUAAGGACUAAAAUUAGCCAGGUGUGGUGGUGCAUGUGUGUAGUCCCAGCUGCUCAGGAGGCUGAGGCAGGAGGAUCACUUGAGCCCAGGAGCUAUGAUCAUGCCACCAUAGUCCAGCCUGGGCAACACAGUGAGACCCAUCUCUAAAAAUGUGAAUCUGUGUGUAUUGGUGUAAAGCAACCCUGGGAAUUAUUGACAUUUUGAAAAACAAGAAGGGGUGAGACAGUCCUGCCAGUUCCUCCUUUUUCAGUCUCCAUAUGUAUAAAUAACAUGCAAAUAGUCAUAUAACGCAGAGAAACUGGAAGUGUAUUGAAUUUGCAACUUUUUUUUUUUUUUUUUUUUUUUUUUUUUUUGCUUGAGGGCUUCCAUUUAGUGAGCACUCCUCAGUACUCACAGCAGAGUAUUGCCAGAGGAACUGUAAAAAAUUAAGUUUGCUAUCAGGCAACCAGCAAUUGACUAGGUAUGGCAUGUAUCAGUGUAUCCACCAGGCGGUACUGAGGCUUCAUUUCUUUGCUUAUUUGAAAAUAAGGUGGAAAAUGGCACAACAGCCUGACCUGAUUUGCAAUGUGUCCCUUAGAGCUUAGGCUAGCCAUUCAGUCUUUUCCUUUUCUAGGUAACUAACAGUGGCUGGACUAUGGCUUUGAAUAUGGGUCACAGAUGAGUAAGCCUUCCUCAACUGGUUCUGCUUCCUGUUUUCCAUAUAUAGGGGCCCCAUUUUUUCCUUUUCAAGUCCACACAGCAUUGCCUCCAAUGGGUGUGAGCAUUCCUUACCAGCAUUCAGAUGCUGAACAUUUUUAACAGCCUACGGGAAACAGUGUUUUAGGCAGCUCUUUUCAAACACUGAGUUUCUUCAGCUGUGGAAGAGAAUGUCCUUCCCAAAUAAGAAUUAAAAAAAAUGCCCAAUAUAAGCAAUUGAAUAGCACUGGAGUUAUUUUUAGGAACCAGGGUCACUCACUACAGGAAAUGAUCGUGUUGCCAAUGCGUUAAAGCUAGUGACUUUAAAAAAUAUUAUUUAUUUUCUCAUUUAACUGCAUCUCGAGGAAAGUUAGCAGUUGCAAUUUUAAGUUAGGAACUUCUCAAUUUCAGGCCAGAUUCAUUAGGGAGUAGGAAGGAUACCUUUCACUUAAAAAAAGGCAUUUGGGCUAAGUAAGAACACCUCCCCUGCAACUCCCUCCCGCCCUCCCGCACAACACUCAAAUUAAUCCCCACAACAUAUUAUCUUAGGCAGAGUUCUUGCCUCAUGCCUAUGAAUGGGAUGUCAUGAAACCCCUAAAAUUCUAGACAGAAUUUUACUUACACAUAUAUAUCUGCAUUGUUGUGGUUUGAAUGAGAUCUUAACCACAAAACAUUAAGAAUAACUAUUUUAAGCACUUACACGAUUAGUUCUUUUAUAGACUACCUGCCUAAACAAAUGUCAUUGUGGUUGCCUUGGAACUGUGAGUCGUAUAUUGAUUAGUUUAAUCAAAAACAAUAUUUAAAACAUCAGAUAGUGCUUCCAAAUAUUUUCUUAUGACAUGAUUUUCACUGCAUGUUAUUUAACCUGCAAGAGGUAGAACAGAAAAAGCAGAAUCUUUCGUGAUCAAACCGCACAACUAAAGAGUGUGCUGUUUAUGUCUACUUUUCAAGGUAAGAUAAACUUCAAAGAGAAAUGAACUUUUAAUUUCAAAUUCCAAUUUACAUAUUAGGACUUAAAUGACUUCAAAUCAUAUCUAAAAAUCACCAUAACCAAACCAUUGUAAAUUUUUACUUACAUUGAGAAUAAAAAUAAAUAAAUGUUAAGUAUAUUUCCUAAUAAUAUUUGCCAUGCAGCAUUUGGAAGAACAAGUCCUGUGACGCUUCUACUUUAAGAUUUCUGCAUUGUUGUUGGCUGAUGUCAUAGACUGUUCCUCUAUGAUCACAAGAAUUCCCUAUUUAGAACUGCAUAUGGGUGCCCGUUGGGUAACGUUUCAAGUUGAAAGAAUUUUGCAUUUUGUGUUAUUGUACUAGAAUGAAAUAAUCUUAAUCUGAAAAGUUUUGAUGGUUAAACUCUUUAAUAUUUUUGUAUUCCUGACUAUUUUCUUCAUUUAGCUAAGUUUACACUGAAGUCCUUAAUUACCCUUCUCCUUUUAUGAUAAAAAUAACAUCCUUCAUUAUCUAUAAUUUUCCAGUGGCUUCCACAUGCCAAAAACGUCAACUACACAAUUUUUCUCUUAUAGUCAGAACACUGGCUUGUGGAAAUGAAGCACUUCAUUCGAAAUUUCACCAGUAAAUGUUGUUGAUGUGUGAUCUCUAGCUUACAGAAUAGAUGGAACUGCAUUCUUACAUUUAAACAAUUAUCCUCUGAUUAAAUAAAUUCAAAUACAUCUAAGGAAUAGAAUAAUUAUCAGUUUUAAAUAAAAAUUAGUUAGACAAGUUUAACAAGAUGCCCAAUGCGUUGCAGUACAUAAUCCUUUUUGUGAAGUUUUUUUUUUUUUUUUUUUAAAGACGAAUUCUUGCUCUUGUCAUCCAGGCUGGAGUGUAAUGGCGCGAUCUUGGCUCACUCUGCCUCCCAGAUUCAAACGAUUCUCCUGCCUCGGCCUCCCGAACAGCUGGGAUUACAGGCGCCCACCACCAUGCCUGGCUUUUUUUCGUAUUUUUAGUAGAGAUGGGUUUUUGCCAUGUUGGCCAGGCUGGUCAACAAAGUAAUUUUGAUAGUAUCCACAUUUGACCGGGCGCAGUGGCUCACGCUUGUAAUUCCAGCACUUUGGGAGGCUGAGGCGGAUGGAUCACCUGAGGUCAGGAGUUUGAGACCAGCCUGGUCAACAUGGUGAAACCCUGUCUCUACUAAAAAUACAAAAAAUUAGUUGGCCGUGGUGACUCGUGCCAGUAGUCCCAGCUACUUAGGAGGGUGAGGCACAAGAAUCGCUUGAACCUGGGAGGCGGAGGUUGCAGUGAGACAACAUUGUGCCACUGCACUCCAGCCUGAGUGACACAGUGAGACUCCGUCUCAAAAAAAAAAAAAAAAAAGUUACCCACAUUUUAUAAGCAAGGCAACUGAGACAACAGAUGUUAAAUUGCAUAACUGUUAAGUUACAGAACCAAGAUUGGAACCCUGUCAGUCUGGCUCCAGAGUCUGGAAUUUAUUCUCUCCACUUUACUGUCUCUGAUCUCUUGUAUAAUUUUGCAGAGACAGUGUCUGCCCUGUUCUAGCUCCAUUGUGACUAGGCAAGCAAGUCUGUAAUUCUGGUGUUUCAAGAAUAAGAAGUCAAACCAGGCACAGUGGCUUGUGCCUGUAAUCCCAGCUACUAGGGAGGCCGAGAUGGGGGGAUCACUUUAGCCCAGGAGUUCAAGGCUGUGAUGCAUCCCUGCACUUCAGUCUGGGUGACAGAAUAAGAUCCUAUCUCUAAAGAGAAAGAUUGUUUUUAUUAUUUUUUAUUUUUUUGAGAUAGAGUCUUGCUCUGUCACCCAGGCUGGAGUGCAGUGGCAUGAUCUCAGCUCACUGCAACCUCCACCUCCCGGGUUCAAGCGAUUCUCUCACCUCAGCCGCCCGAGUAGCUGGGACUACAAGCGCCCACCACCAUGCCCAGCUAAUUUUUGUAUUUUUAGUAGAAAUGAGGUUUCAUCAUGUUGGCCAGGCUGGUCUCGAACUCCUGACCUCAAGUGAUCUGCCCACCUUGGCCUCCGAAAGUGCUGGGAUUACGGGAAUAAGCCACCGUGCCUGGCCAAAAAGUUGUUUUUAAAGAAUGAGAAGUCAAUCUGUCUGCAUAUGUGAGCCAUGAUCUCCAAUAUCAAUAUUUUCAAUAGUAAUAAAGUGUUUUCAUCUCUGUGUUACUCCUUGUCUGUCUCUUAAUUGACACAGAACUGGGUGGUGUGGGAGUGCUAUUAGGCCCCCUUGAUCGCUCAACAACUAUAUGUACAUACGUGGAAAGGAUGAUAUGACAUUUUCAGAGUUAUAUGUCAUUACAAACAGGCAUGGCUAAGAUUUUUCAAUUGUCAUUCCAAAAUUUGUCAACUACCUAUUUUUUGUCAGAGACCUUAAAAAUUCUAUCUUUCCUAAGGGCAAUGGCCAUAUCUUACGUGUUUGUAUGCCUAACACAGUGCUUUGUGUAUACAAUUAUGUUGUUCUUCUUUGCACUUAAAAUAAAAUCACCACCCCUCUUCUUCUUUGACCUCAUCUAAAAACAUCUCCUCCUUGCCUACUAUAUUUUAAUCACACUGACCUUCUUUCUAUUCCAUAACCUCAUUAAAUUUAUUCCUAUGUUGGAGUUUCUGUCCUUGCCAUUUCCCCUGUCUUAAAUGCACUUUACAUGACUACUUCUUGUCAGUCAGAUCUCAACUUGACUAUUACCUCUGUAGAACUCCUGUUACUUAAUCCAUGUAUGAAAAACCCACAGUUAACCUCAUACUCAAUGGUAAAAGACUAAAAGCUUUUUUUCUAAGAUCAAGAACAAGACAGGGAUGCCCACUCUCACCAAUUUUAUUCAACAUAGUACUAGAAUUCCUAAGCAAAGCAAUUAGGCAAGAAGAAAUAAAAGGUAUGCAAACUGGAAAGGAAAAAGUAAAAUUAUGUCUGCUGGAAGACAACAUGACUUACGCGUAGGACACCCUAAACAUUACACAUAUACACCUGUACAAGCUGUCAGAACUAACAAAUCAGUUCAGCAAAGUUGCAAGAUACAAAAACAACACACACAAAAAUCAGUUGUGUUUUUAUACACUAAUAAUAAACAAUCCCAAAAGGAAAUUCAGAAAUCAAUUCCAUUUGCAAUAGCAUCAAAAAGAAUAAAAUAUUUAGGCCAAAGAGGUGAAAAACUUGUACA
rnacentral:lncRNA from 1 species